AAGGAGGACGAAUUCCUUCAGCCUGGGCUCAAUGGACCAAGACCAGCAGGGAGGGUUUGAUACUCUCUUUUUGAUGUUUUACUUUGGAAAUAAAUAGAAAUCAUUCACGUCUGUUUCUCUCACUUCCUUCCAGUUCCCUGCAGUACUGAAUGUCCUGGGACUCUGAACUAUAACUCAGCAAGGGGGCCAUGCAGCCAGUCUGGCUCUUGAUAUUCCCAGUUUCACUUCAGUUUACACUUUCAGGGGCCCUUGAACUUCUUGUUUUCCAAGCUCUGCUUUCGUCCCACUUCUGAGCAAAAUGUUAUGAAUCGAUAAAAGCCCCUUGAAUUUUCCCUGUAUUAAGAAUUCCUUACUCUUUGAAUUUGGCAGUGUGCUGACAAAGAAGAUUUUUGUGUUUGAGUAGCAUUUGCUCCAGGCAGAUUGGUACCCUGUGUAUAUGACCUCUGUUACACUGUAGUUGAUUGACACAUGAGUAGGAUGAAGAAGUCCUGUGCUUUUUAGUGGUCCUUGUAUUUGCUGAAUGUAAUCAUAUAGUUUUUUUUUUUUUUUUUGUUCUGACUUUCAAAUAUGGUAUUUCCCAUUUUGUGAACUUUCAUUCUGACUAAUGAUUUCCUCUAAUAUCUUUUUAUCUCCCCAUUAUCCAGCUCUAUGAAUGUGCACACACUGAAAACUGAUUCUCAAGUCCUCAAGACCACACCCAAGAGGUUCAUGUUGUUUUGUAUACAGACUGUGAAAUAAAUAAAAGACAGCUUCUGCAUUUGAUAACCUUGAAGUUCUCAGAGUAUGUUUCCUUCCAAGGCUGGCAUGAAAGAAGCCGGAGACCCAUGCAGAUGAAUGGGAUGCUGAGAUUUCAAUACAACUUUUAUUGUGGACACUGAAAUUUGAAUUACUCAUGUUUUUUGUGUGUCUCAAAAAUAUUCUUCUGAUUUUUUCCGACAACUUGGAGGAGUAAAACAUUCCUAGCUUGUGGCUGGUACAAAACGUGAGGUCCACUGUUACUUGCUGAGCCGUAGGAUCAAGGCUUUUGUGGCAUCAGAUGUUGAAUUUAUGCUAUUUAGGGAUAUGUCCCAUUAUUGAUUUGAAUGGGGCAUUAAGUAAUAAUAUCAGUAUCACUGAAGUAUCAGAUAAUUGCACUGCUAUAUUGAUAAGACCUUGAUUUUCUGCCACAUGUAGCCAAAAUCUGCCAAAUUGCCGCAUUCUCUUAGAUUCUAAUUCCACAUAGUAGGGUGUGUUUUUUUUUUUUUUUUUUUUUUUUUUUUUAAGGGUUAAGUCUUUCAUACCUUACUUCUCUCCCUACCCAUUCCUCCAUUAAAAGAGACUCUUUUGUAGCCUGGUUCCAGAUCUUCUCUGACGUUGAAUAAAAAAGAGAAGGCCAUGGAGGCCCAGGAAGUAAAAGCCGGAGAAACUAGGCUGACUUACUGGUCAAAGACUGGAGAGUAAAAGCUUAUUUGCUUAUUAAAUAUUGGAGUUCUCAUUGUGGCUCAGCAGUUUACGAACCCAGCUAGUAUCUAUGAGGAU